rnacentral:rRNA from 1 species
AUGAGCAAGGGCAAGGUUCACCACGACUGGAUCCUCCGGCGGUGCUGCGGCUCCGUCGCCGCCUGCAUCCUCACGCUCGCCGUCCUCGUCGGCUUCGUCGCGCUCGUCAUCUACCUCGCCCUGCACCCCUCCAAGCCCUCCUUCUACCUCCAGGACAUCCAGCUCCGCUCCAUCGACCUCGCCGAUCCGGCUCUCUCCCUUGACGUCCAGGUGACCAUCGCGUCCCGGAACCCGAACGACCGGGUGGGCAUCUACUACAAGACCCUGCACGCCUUCACCACGUACCGCGACGAGCCGGUGACGGUGCCGGUGUCGCUGCCGGCGAUCUACCAGGGGCACAAGGACCAGUCGGUGUGGUCGCCGGUGAUGUCCGGGGACUCGGUGCCGGUGGCGCCCUACGUGGCGGACGCCAUGAAGCAGGACAUCGCCGCCGGGUACGUGCUGCUGCACGUGAAGGUGGACGGCCGCGUCAAGUGGAAGGUCGGCAGCUGGGUCUCCGGCAGCUACCACAUCUUCGUCAACUGCCCCGCGCUGCUCUCCGCCAGCGGCGGCAACGCCGGCGGCGCCUUCGCCAUGAGCGCCACGGCGGGCGGCAAGCAGGCAGUCACGCUCAAGUUCACGCAGCCGUCCUACUGCACCGUUGACGUGUGA